rnacentral:rRNA from 1 species
CAAGUCGUGGGGCAGCAGGGGCGUAGCAAUACGCUCGCUGGCGACCGGCAAACGGGUGCGGAACACGUACACAACCUUCCUUGAAGUGGGGAAUAGCCCGGGGAAACCCGGAUUAAUACCCCGUAAUAUAAUGAAGCGGCAUCGUUUUAUUAUUAAAGCUCCGGCGCUUUAAGAUGGGUGUGCGACUGAUUAGGCAGUUGGCGGGGUAACGGCCCACCAAACCUACGAUCAGUAACUGGUGUGAGAGCACGACCAGUCACACGGGCACUGAGACACGGGCCCGACUCCUACGGGAGGCAGCAGUAAGGAAUAUUGGUCAAUGGACGCAAGUCUGAACCAGCCAUGCCGCGUGGAGGAUGAAGGUCCUCUGGAUUGUAAACUUCUUUUAUCUGGGAAGAAACCCAUGAAUUCUUUUGUGGUUGACGGUACCAGAUGAAUAAGCACCGGCUAACUCCGUGCCAGCAGCCGCGGUAAUACGGAGGGUGCAAGCGUUAUCCGGAUUCACUGGGUUUAAAGGGUGCGUAGGUGGGUUGGUAAGCCAGUGGUGAAAUCUCCAGGCUUAACUUGGAAACUGCCAUUGAUACUAUCAAUCUUGAAUACCGUGGAGGUCAGCGGAAUAUGUCAUGUAGCGGUGAAAUGCUUAGAUAUGACAUAGAACACCAAUUGCGAAGGCAGCUGGCUACACGGAUAUUGACACUGAUGCACGAAAGCGUGGGGAUCAAACAGGAUUAGAUACCCUGGUAGUCCACGCCCUAAACGAUGGAUACUCGACAUACGCGAUAUACUGUGUGUGUCUGAGCGAAAGCAUUAAGUAUCCCACCUGGGAA